AUAGAGAGAGAUUGUCAUGCAGCUUGUGUUGCACAAAACAAGAUUUAUGUAGUGGGAGGUCUGGAUUCUGGGAAAAAAAAUGUGAAAUCAAUUGAAUGUUACGAUGGUCAAACUGACAAGUGGAGUGUUGUUGGUGAAACUGAAGUUGAAUUAUUCAACCAUUCUAUGGUUGCUGUUUAAAUAGGAAAGAGGUGAACAGCUUUCAAUUCCUCUAAUAAACCACAUAUUUACUGUGGCAAUUUUACAGCCUGAGUGUGUCUAUCAUUUCCCCAAUUACCCCUGCAUACUGUAAUGUGACUUCUAUUGGGCUUGUUUAAACUUGUGUGUUAAAUGUGUUAAUGCACCGAGCAACAUGGUUAAUGAAGUUUGUACUUCUAUUUUACCUUUUACCCUAUUAGAACCAUUGUCAUUCUAGCGCCACUUCCCCGCUUUUGUGUACACAGGCGCUUUGUUCCAUACACUUCGUGCCCACUUACGACCAUGUAUGUACCUUUGUUGGUAUUCAUUUGUUUUAUUUAUUUCGUAUUUUUUGAAAGUGAACUUUUUUGAUAUUUUAACAACUGCCGGUUUACUAAUGAUUCCUUUCUCUUCGUUGUUUAAAUGAUAUGUUUUAUGCUAUCAUUUUUGUAGAGAUAAUUAAAACGUUAUGUUGUGUUAAA